GAUGAACGCUGGCGGCGUGCUUAACACAUGCAAGUCGAACGGGAAGGCCCAAGCUUGCUUGGGUACUCGAGUGGCGAACGGGUGAGUCACACGUGGGUGAUCUGCCCUGCACUUCGGGAUAAGCCUGGGUAACUGGGUCUAAUACCGGAUAGGCCCACAUCAUGGAUGGUGUGGUGGAAAGUUUUUCGGUGUGGGAUGAGCUCGCGGCCUAUCAGCUUGUUGGUGGGGUAAUGGCCUACCAAGGCGCCGACGGGUAACCGGCCUGAGGGGGUGUACGGCCACAUUUGGACUGAGAUACGGCCCAGGCUCCUACGGGGGGCAGCAGGGGGGAAUAUUUCACAAUGGGCGGAAGCCUGAUGCAGCGACGGCGCGUGGGGGAUGACGGCCUUCGGGUUGUAAACUCCUUUCGCGAGGGACGAAGCGUUUUUGUGACGGUACCUGGAGAAGAAGCACCGGCUAACUACGUG
rnacentral:rRNA from 1 species